CAGUCGCCGCGGGAAAACGGAGGGUGCAAGCGUUAAUCGGAAUUACUGGGCGUAAAGCGUGCGUAGGCGGCUUUUUAAGUCGGAUGUGAAAUCCCUGAGCUUAACUUAGGAAUUGCAUUCGAUACUGGGAAGCUAGAGUAUGGGAGAGGAUGGUAGAAUUCCAGGUGUAGCGGUGAAAUGCGUAGAGAUCUGGAGGAAUACCGAUGGCGAAGGCAGCCAUCUGGCCUAAUACUGACGCUGAGGUACGAAAGCAUGGGGAGCAAACAGGAUUAGAUACCCCCGUAGUCCCUGUCUCUUAUAC
rnacentral:rRNA from 1 species